rnacentral:rRNA from 1 species
UACAGAGGUCUCAAGCGUUGUUCGGAUUCAUUGGGCGUAAAGGGUGCGUAGGCGGCGCGGUAAGUCGGGUGUGAAAUCUUGGAGCUUAACUCCGAAACUGCAUUCGAUACUGCCGUGCUUGAGGACUGGAGAGGAGACUGGAAUUUACGGUGUAGCGGUGAAAUGCGUAGAUAUCGUAAGGAAGACCAGUGGCGAAGGCGGGUCUCUGGACAGUUCCUGACGCUGAGGCACGAAGGCCAGGGGGAAGGCUAAA